UGGGGAAUAUUGCACAAUGGGCGCAAGCCUGAUGCAGCCAUGCCGCGUGUGUGAAGAAGGCCUUCGGGUUGUAAAGCACUUUCAGCGGGGAGGAAGGCGAUAAGGUUAAUAACCUCAUCGAUUGACGUUACCCGCAGAAGAAGCACCGGCUAACUCCGUGCCAGCAGCCGCGGUAAUACGGAGGGUGCAAGCGUUAAUCGGAAUUACUGGGCGUAAAGCGCACGCAGGCGGUCUGUCAAGUCGGAUGUGAAAUCCCCGGGCUCAACCUGAACUGCAUUCGAAACUGGCAGGCUAGAGUCUUGUAGAGGGGGGUAGAAUUCCAGGUGUAGCGGUGAAAUGCGUAGAGAUCUGGAGGAAUACCGGUGGCGAAGGCGGCCCCCUGGACAAAGACUGACGCUCAGGUGCGAAAGCGUGGGGAGCAAACAGG
rnacentral:rRNA from 1 species